AGUGGGUUGCGUCACUAGUCGAACUUUGUUCUCGGCUAAUGAGUGACAAUAUACUCGACGUCCAAGGCAAUGUGAGUCAACUUCCAAGUGGUGAGUUCGUUUUGGGUUUCCCGAAACGGAUGAUGAUCUGCGGCAACAUCGGGAAUUAUGCGGCGUUGAUGAAAGUCGUGCCAUGUCUCGAUGUUGUUGACCCGUCUCCUGAUUUCGAAUCACUGGUUUCGUUUUUCGAUGAUAUUCGUUAAAAGAUGUGGCAUUGUUGCAUUUGCUGAUGAUUAUUGUUGAACGAUGAUGCUAGUGUUUCUUGGUAGCUUGUCUGUCUAAUGCGUUGUUGAUGAGCUUCGUCCCAAUAGAAUGUGGUGUCAUGUUGCUUGUUGUUGAUCCUAGUUUCAAGCUUGUUAAGCUUAAAACACAUGGAUUAUGGAUUAGUGACAGGUCAUCGCUUCUUUGGUUGAUGAAGGUCGUUCAAUGCGUUGGUUAGUUUGUGUUCUCGCAUCGUUCGGUGCAUUCUGGGGUCAUUUUGGCUAUCAGUUGCUUGCUUGGCCUUUGAGCUUGGUGGGUGGCUGUUAGUUGGGUGGUUUCGGGGAUGUCUACCGUAAAGGUGCAUGAGUGGUGUUUGGUUUGUUACGGGUGGUUGGCUCUUUGCUUGCGCAACAACUUCCACCUGGCAUACCUCUUCAGUCUUGUGUCAAUGCUUUUAUCGCAUUGCACGCACUGUGGGUUUCUUGUGUUGCAUUCCUAAUUGAUGGUAUCAUUUGAAGAAUUGAUGUCCAUUUUUGUCUUGUGUCGCACAUGCGAUGUGAGAUGAACCUUGAAGCAGCCUUGGUGUUCCACUCUUUUGAUGUACACGCAUUGAUUUUGUGGCCCAUUAAGUGUUGCUUGGUCUCAUGGAUAUAGAACCUGGUGUGGGCAUGGGAUCUACCGGUUCCUUGUUUGCCCUAGUUUAGCUUAUCUAAUACGAUUGUCUAUCAUGUCUUAACGUGGUAGGCUAUAUCGAAUAUGAAUGCUACCUGGUUGAUCCUGCCAGUAGUCAUAUGCU
rnacentral:misc_RNA from 1 species